rnacentral:rRNA from 1 species
AAGCGGCMACAGSUCAAAUUUGAAAUCUGGCUUCGGCCCGAGUUGUAAUUUGUAGAGGAUGCUUUUGGUGAGGUGCCUUCUGAGUUCCCUGGAACGGGACGCCAGAGAGGGUGAGAGCCCCGUAUAGUCGGCCACCGAUCCUUUGUAAAGCUCCUUCGACGAGUCGAGUAGUUUGGGAAUGCUGCUCAAAAUGGGAGGUAUAUCUCUUCUAAAGCUAAAUAUUGGCCAGAGACCGAUAGCGCACAAGUAGAGUGAUCGAAAGAUGAAAAGCACUUUGAAAAGAGGGUUAAAUAGCACGUGAAAUUGUUGAAAGGGAAGCGCUUGUGACCAGACUUGUGCCGGGCUGAUCAUCCAGUGUUCUCACUGGUGCACUCGWCCCGGCUCAGGCCAGSGUCGGUUCUCGCGGGGGGAUAAAAGCUUCGGGAACGUGGCACCUCCGGGUGUGUUAUAGCCCGUUGCUUAAUACCUUCGCGGG